rnacentral:rRNA from 1 species
GACAGAGGGGCAAGCGUUGCUCGGAAUUACUGGGCGUAAAGGGCGCGUAGGCGGAUGGUAAGUCGGUCGUGAAAUCCCUCGGCUCAACCGAGGAACGUCGAUCGAUACUACCGUUCUUGAGGAUUGCAGAGGAGACUGGAAUUCCCGGUGUAGCGGUGAAAUGUGUAGAGAUCGGGAGGAACACCGGUGGCGAAGGCGGGUCUCUGGGCAAUUCCUGACGCUGAAGGCGCGAAAGCGUGGGAGCAAACGGG